rnacentral:rRNA from 1 species
UACGAAGGGGGGCUAGCGUUGCUCGGAAUUACUGGGCGUAAAGGGCGCGUAGGCGGACAGUUUAGUCAGAGGUGAAAGCCCAGGGCUCAACCUUGGAACUGCCUUUGAUACUGGCUGUCUUGAGUUCGGGAGAGGUGAGUGGAAUGCCGAGUGUAGAGGUGAAAUUCGUAGAUAUUCGGCGGAACACCAGUGGCGAAGGCGACUCACUGGCCCGAUACUGACGCUGAGGCGCGAAAGCGUGGGGAGCAAACAGG